rnacentral:rRNA from 1 species
GAUCUGGCUCAGGAUGAACGCUGGCGGCGUGCUUAACACAUGCAAGUCGAACGAAGCAAUUUAACGGAAGUUUUCGGAUGGAAGUUAAAUUGACUGAGUGGCGGACGGGUGAGUAACGCGUGGGUAACCUGCCUCACACUGGGGACAACAGUUAGAAAUGACUGCUAAUACCGCAUAAGACCACAGAGCCGCAUGGCUCAGUGGGAAAAACUCCGGUGGUAUGAGAUGGACCCGCGU